UCUUACGGCCAUACCACCCUGUCUGCGCCUGAUCUUGUCUGAUCUCGGAAGCUAAGCAGGGUCGGGCCUGGUUAGUACUUGGAUGGGAGACCGCCUGGGAAUACCAGGUGCUGUAAGCU
rnacentral:rRNA from 1 species